AGACCCGAAACCCGGUGAUCUAGCCAUGGGCAGGUUGAAGGUUGGGUAACACUAACUGGAGGACCGAACCGACUAAUGUUGAAAAAUUAGCGGAUGACCUGUGGCUGGGGGUGAAAGGCCAAUCAAACCGGGAGAUAGCUGGUUCUCCCCGAAAGCUAUUUAGGUAGCGCCUCGUGAAUUCAUCUCCGGGGGUAGAGCACUGUUUCGGCUAGGGGGCCAUCCCGGCUUACCAACCCGAUGCAAACUGCGAAUACCGGAGAAUGUUAUCACGGGAGACACACGGCGGGUGCUAACGUCCGUCGUGAAGAGGGAAACAACCCAGACCGCCAGCUAAGGUCCCAAAGUCAUGGUUAAGUGGGAAACGAUGUGGGAAGGCCCAGACAGCCAGGAUGUUGGCUUAGAAGCAGCCAUCAUUUAAAGAAAGCGUAAUAGCUCACUGGUCGAGUCGGCCUGCGCGGAAGAUGUAACGGGGCUAAACCAUGCACCGAAGCUGCGGCAGCGACGCUUAUGCGUUGUUGGGUAGGGGAGCGUUCUGUAAGCCUGUGAAGGUGGCCUGUGAGGGUUGCUGGAGGUAUCAGAAGUGCGAAUGCUGACAUAAGUAACGAUAAAGCGGGUGAAAAGCCCGCUCGCCGGAAGACCAAGGGUUCCUGUCCAACGUUAAUCGGGGCAGGGUGAGUCGACCCCUAAGGCGAGGCCGAAAGGCGUAGUCGAUGGGAAACGGGUUAAUAUUCCCGUACUUGGUGUUACUGCGAAGGGGGGACGGAGAAGGCUAUGUUGGCCGGGCGACGGUUGUCCCGGUUUAAGCGUGUAGGCUGGUUUUCCAGGCAAAUCCGGAAAAUCAAGGCUGAGGCGUGAUGACGAGGCACUACGGUGCUGAAGCAACAAAUGCCCUGCUUCCAGGAAAAGCCUCUAAGCAUCAGGUAACAUCAAAUCGUACCCCAAACCGACACAGGUGGUCAGGUAGAGAAUACCAAGGCGCUUGAGAGAACUCGGGUGAAGGAACUAGGCAAAAUGGUGCCGUAACUUCGGGAGAAGGCACGCUGACACGUAGGUGAAGUGAUUUACUCAUGGAGCUGAAGUCAGUCGAAGAUACCAGCUGGCUGCAACUGUUUAUUAAAAACACAGCACUGUGCAAACACGAAAGUGGACGUAUACGGUGUGACGCCUGCCCGGUGCCGGAAGGUUAAUUGAUGGGGUCAGCGCAAGCGAAGCUCCUGAUCGAAGCCCCGGUAAACGGCGGCCGUAACUAUAACGGUCCUAAGGUAGCGAAAUUCCUUGUCGGGUAAGUUCCGACCUGCACGAAUGGCGUAAUGAUGGCCAGGCUGUCUCCACCCGAGACUCAGUGAAAUUGAACUCGCUGUGAAGAUGCAGUGUACCCGCGGCAAGACGGAAAGACCCCGUGAACCUUUACUAUAGCUUGACACUGAACAUUGAGCCUUGAUGUGUAGGAUAGGUGGGAGGCUUUGAAGCGUGGACGCCAGUCUGCGUGGAGCCGACCUUGAAAUACCACCCUUUAAUGUUUGAUGUUCUAACGUGGACCCGU
rnacentral:rRNA from 2 species